rnacentral:tRNA from 1 species
GCCCUCUUAGCUCAGUCGGUAGAGCACCUCCAUGGUAAGGAGGGGGUCGACGGUUCGAGUCCGUCAGAGGGCUCUA